rnacentral:lncRNA from 1 species
AGAACUAGAUAGAGAGGGAGAGAAGGAGGGGGAGAGAAAGAGUAAUGUGAAGGUCUUGGUUGCGAGGUUACUGCUAAUCUGCAAGUUAACGCGAGAGUCAGAUUUACAGAAGAUGCAAAUAUGGAGAAUACCUCACAAAUAUGGAGAUGGCGAAAAGUUGUGGAAGCAUCUGUAAGAGAUCUCACGGACUCCACGUUGCUAUCAAUAUUCUCUACGUAGAAGAUGAAAUUUUGAAUGCAAUGUUGCCGGUCGAGCGAAGUGGCAUAGGAAACGGAGUCGCCAGAGAAGCCGUGGAAGAUUGAUAGGGUGGACCGGUCGAAGUGGGAGGCAUGCUUUGGAAAGGAUUAAAGGUUUUUAAGUUGAUUUAGGGUGUGUUUGGUUUGAUGUAAAAAAGGGUGAAAAAAAAAUCCAGAUGAAAAAUCUUUGCGGGUUUGAAUUUAAAAAAUUUUCGUAGAACCAUUUUUCGUUUUCUGCGCGCGACCGACGAAAAAUGAAAUAGCGUAGGAUGAAAAUCGCAGCUCACGCGAUAUGCCUCACAAGCAUGUUUCACGCGGUCCACGAGGCCAAAAUAACCUCGCGGACCGAGCUAGUUAUAUUUAUAGGUGUGGUCCACGAGGCCAUUUUGGCCUUGUGGACCGCGAACUUCCCUCUCGUUAUAUAUAAUAAAAUUAUAUAUAUAUAUAUAUAUCAUAAAAAUAAAAUAUUAUAUAUAAUAAAAAAAAUAAAUAUUUAUAAAUAAAAUUAUAUAUAUAAUUUUAUUUAUAAAUAUUUAUUUAUUUUUAUUAUAUAUAAUAUUUUAUUUUUUAUAUAAAGAUAUUAAUAUAUAAUAUUUUAUUUAUAAAUUAGUAAUUAUUUAAAUACUCCCGCAGUUAUCUCCUGUUAAGUUAACUUAGGUUAAACAUGAGUUAAAUAUCUACUACAGUUUAAAAAAUUAAAAUGCUAAUUUUGCCCUUAACUUAAGGGCAAAUAAGAAAUGUUGGUAACGGUAGAGGGGUAUAUUGGAAAAGGCCAAACUCAAAAUAUUUUUUGUCCCCCUGACUUUAAGGGCAAAUAAGAAAGUCCGUGAUGAUGAAAAGGUAUAUUUCAAAGGGCAAAAUAGUAAUUUUACAGAGAUAACAGAGUUAAUUAACAGAUUUUAACUCUAGGGGUAUAUUAGAAUAGGUUGAAGCGUAGAAAGGGUUUUUCAAUAUUAGCCUUCUAACAUGGGUAAAUCGGAAAGUCGGGAACUUUUCAGAGAUAUAUAAGCAAUUGCCCCCCAA